CCUACGGGUGGCUGCAGUGAGGAAUAGUGGUCAAUGGACGCAAGUCUGAACCAGCCAUGCCGCGUGCAGGAAGACGGCUCUAUGAGUUGUAAACUGCUUUUGUACAAGGGUAAACGCAGAUACGUGUAUCUGUCUGAAAGUAACGGACGAAUAAGGAUCGGCGAACUCCGUGCCAGCAGCCGCGGUAAGACGGAGGAUUCAAGCGUUAUCCGGAUUUAUUGGGUUUAAAGGGUGCGUAGGCGGUCGGAUAAGUUAGAGGUGAAAUCCCGAGGCUCAACUUCGGACUUGCCUCUGAUACUGUUCGGCUCGAGCUUAGUUGCGGUCGGCGGAAUGUAUGGUGUAGCGGUGAAAUGCUUAGAGUUCAUAC
rnacentral:rRNA from 1 species